UUUCCCAUAUUUUCCCAUUUUUACCGAUGAAUUCAUAAGUAAAUUCAAGUUGAUUUCUGUGCAACUUGUUUGUGAUGUGUUUUUUUCCCUAUGUGUGUUGGAUCACCUUUCAUAUUUCUUGUUAUAACGUGUAGGAAGGAACGCGGAAGGCAACUAGCCAAGUACAAGUAGCCUACCAUCAAUUCUUUCAUUAAAAUCGUCGUUCUGCUGAAUGCUCCACCCUAUUAAUACAGGUCUUUUAAAUACCCCAGUGUGGACACUUGUUGUUUUUUCCAACAUGUUUCUACAAAGAAAGCUAUGGGAACAUAAUCAAGGCCAUGGGUAAUCUUCAUCAGGCAACUUAAAUAAUUCACAUAAAGAUGCAGGGCGCAUACCAACAUGUGUUGUAUUUUCCUGAAUGUUUUUUACUCAAGCAGUAGAUUCAACAUGCAUAACUGUUUGAUGCCAAAGUUAGUUGGAACUCUAACUCAAACACAGAUAAUUGUUACUGCUGCCUUUCAGCCACAGGCAGGAAAAUGAUUGUUUUCUUCACAAAAUUGUAAUUUGGAAAGCUGCUGGAGUAAUCUAGUGUCCAUCCCCACUUGAUUCAUUUCGUAGCUAGUGAAAGACUGAAAGGCGUGACGAAUUCAAAUUUAGCUGCUGCGUGCUGUCUGCAAGCAAGCAAUCCAAUUGGCUGUCGCUAGGUGGCGCUAGUCAAUCUUCAGCGACUAAAUUCGGCCAUUUUGAUCCUUGACGCAGCAGAAGUGAGGUGCCGGUCGUGACGUUUCCCAAAAUGAAAAGGUGAUUUCAAUACCAAUUUGUUAAAUCAUCUAACUCGGAUUUGAGUGCCUCUUCAUUUUGCCGAAAUGUCGUGCCUCGUGUGUCUUGCUGCCUGUACCCGUACGUCUCGUCCCAUGCAAAAGCAAAAGUCCGCUGUUGGUUACCUUGUUGCAGCCUGAUGGUGUAAGAUGUGAUGAAGACUAGUUGGACUGUUGUAUGCAGCGUGUGGUUCCAGUGUUACCCAGAAGUAGCUGUGCUGGCGGUCUCCUGAAGUUGCCAGUGAUAUCCGGACUGCUGACUUUAAAUAUUCUUGUCUGUUCUCAUUUGUGUUUUUUGCUUUGCAAGUGGUAUUCUGUGUUGCUGAUUUUAAAUAUUUUUAUCCGUUUUUAUUUGUGGUUUUGCUCUGCCAGUGAGUUUCUGACUUGAAUUGGUUUCAUCUGUUGUCUUUUGCCUUCUUACUUGUGCAAUGUGCAGUAUACGAUUGUGGCAAUCUGACCCCAUGUCAGAUUUGACAUAGUCGACAACUGCUAGAUUAAAUUCCGGCUUUCUGCACCAACAAAAUAAUAACGGCACAUGUUAUUAUCGCGGUUGGGAAAGUCACAGGCCCCCC
rnacentral:lncRNA from 1 species